CAUUUUUUUAGGUUGUCUUUUCACUCUGUUACUUGUUUGCUUCGCUGUACAGAAGCUUUUUAGUUUGAUAUAAUCCUGUAGUCUCAUUUGCCUACUUUUACUUUUGUUGCCUUUGUUUUUGAGGUCUUACCUAAAAAAUCCUUGCCAAGACAAAUGUCAUGAGGUAUUUUCCAUGUGUAUUUUUUAAGUAGUUUCAUAGUUCUGAGUCUUACCUUUAAGCCUUUAAUCCAUUUUGAGUUGAUUUUUUAAUAGGGUGAGAAAUGGGGGUCUGUUUUUCAUUCUUCUGCAUAUGGUUAACCAGUUUUCCCAGAACCAUUCAUUGAACAGAGAGUCCUUUUUCCAUUGCUUAUUUUUCUCAACUUUGUAAAAGAUCAUUUGUCAAUAAGUGUGCCCCUUUAUUUCUGGGUUCUCUAUUCUGUUCCGUUGGUAUGUGUGCCUAUUUUUGUACCAGUACCAGGCAUUUUCAGUCUUCUUGGAAGAUCACCCUCUCCAGAAGAAACUAAGAGUCUGUAGCCCAUCCCAGACUAAUGCCCAAGUAUUGAUAUUUGGCUUAUGUAAAAGUAACUGUCUUUGAUACUGUAGUGUCAACAUUUGACGCUUUUGAGUGUUUGUUGUUCUGACAACUACUACCACAUAUUUAGCUCUUAUGUGCCAAGAACUAUGCAAAAGGCAGUGGACAAGAAUAUGGGUUUUGGACACAGCUUCCUGAGUUUGUAUUUUGAUUCUGCCCCUUACUAAAUCUGUGUUCAUGGGCAGGGUAGUUAACCUCUUGGUACUUCCAUUUCUUCUUCUGUUAAAUGGAGGUCACAAUAUAGGAUAAUAACACAAUUGGAGUUAUUAUGAAGAUUAAAGGAGAUAAUACAUGUAUAAAACUCAUAACUUUUACACACAGUAAGCACUCAAUGACUGCUUAUUGGUGUCAUUAUUGUCAUCAUCAUCAUCAUUUAAUCUUUACAGGAAAGCAUUGGGAUAAUACGCAUUUUAGAGACAAAGAAACUGAGGCUAAGGAAUCAUAAAUAACUUUCCCAAGGUCACAGUACUAGCAAAUGAUGGCUGAGAUUUGACCUUAGGUGCUCAUGAUUAAGCCCAUGCUCCUAAACUAGACUGUAGCCUUAGUGGAAGAGGGCUGCUGAUAGCAUUUUAGAAUGUCAUAUAUGGAAUCUAGCCUUCUCCUUUUGUGGAUAGAAAAACUGAACUGACUAAGCACCCUAAGUAACAAAUCCCUAAAGGAGUAUCUUUCCCAUUGUCCUUUCUACUGCCCCCAAGUGUGGCUUCUUUUCUUUUUCUUUUUUUCUUUUCUUUUUUUUUUAGAUGGAGUAUCACACUGUUCCUAGGCUGUAGU